rnacentral:lncRNA from 10 species
GGCAGAGUCACACACCAUCAAGCAUGACGACCUAUAAGGAUGUUUAUGAGAAGGAGGCUGUAACUCAUGGAUAAGGGUCCUUCAUUGAGAUGCUCUGAACUUCUCAGAAAGGAAGCAGACAGCAUUCUAGAUGUGGACGGCUUUCCCAAGAUCACAGACCAAGAUUUAUCUCCUCCGUCACCGUAAAACCUUUGUUCCUUUUUUUCUUUGCCCUGUGUUUCUUUUCUAUUUCUACUUGGCAAGAUUAUGCAACAAUUAAGAUUUCAUAAUGUAUAGCUUCCACUGGGAACUUACUUGAAUGUUGGAUAUGUCGCAUUAAACCUAAAUUCUUAAAUGAUGUUAGAGGUUCUCUGGUUCACCCCAUAACAAAUUUCACUGAUAUUUCAAGUAUGACUAUUUGUUCAAAUUGCACAUUUGGUACUUUCUAUAGAGUUAGGUUUUUAGAUUCAGGUAUUUUAGAUUCCUUAAUUCUUAGAGUAGGCAAAACCUAGUGAGGGUUUGUUUUGUUUGGUUUGGUUUGGUUUGGUUUUUCUUUUUUGAGACGGGAGUCUCGCUCUGUCGCCCAGGCUGGAGUGCGGUGGCGCGAUCUUGGCUCACGGCAAUCUCCGCCUCCCGGGUUCAUGCCAUUCUCCUGCCUCAGCCUCCUAAGUAGCUGGGACUACAGGCGCCCGCCACCAAGCCCGGGUAAUUUUUUUGUAUAUUUUUUUAGUAGAGACGGGGUUUCACCGUGUUAGCCAGGAUGGUCUCGAUCUCCUGACCUGGUGAUCCGCCCACCUCGGCCUCCCAAAGGGCUAGGAUUACAGGCGUGAGCCACCGCGCCCUGCCCCUAGUAAGGGUUUUGUAGUUAAAUUAUGCCAUACAUUGAAUAAGAAAACAAACAAACAAAAAAGAUAAUUUGAGAGUUUUUAGACAAAUUUAUAAUCCCAAUUCCUUAUCUGUUAGCCUCCAAACACAUGAUUAUUCAAUAAUGGAGCCUUUGACAAAUAAUACUUGUGCUUCCCUACUGAUGACCCCUAACAGACAAGGCAUUCCACAGAGAACUCUGUGAUGGGCUCUUCUCUCUGAGGUUCUGCCUACUUGUCUACUACAUAGGGUUGAUCAUCUUGUUCAGGAAAUAUUUCUUUCAUUUGCUCUGAGCUUAAUAUUGGAAUUUGUAUUUGAUCUGCUGGGUCUUUGGAGUGAGAACUGGUUUUAUCAGCAGUUUGAUCUUCUGAGGUCUGGUACGUAGUUUGCUGGCCCACAGAAUCUUCACGUAACUGUCUGUUGUGCCCAUGUACAGAAUAUUUUUAAUCUAUGCAGAAUUUAAUAAUUAACCAUAUGUGUUGUCAACUCUAUGUCUCAGUAAGUGGAAAAUAAGGGACCAAUGUGGAUUAGGGAUUUUAACAGGACCAUUGUCACUCCAUAAUCAAUUGGAAACUGAACAUUAGUUUAUACGUGUUAAUUUUCACUAUGAAAUAAAGAGAAAUUUGCCAGCAG